rnacentral:rRNA from 1 species
GGUUGCGAUCAUACCAGCACUAAUGCACCAGAUCCCAUCAGAACUCCGCAGUUAAGCGUGCUUGGGCGAGAGUAGUACUAGGAUAGGUGACCCCCUGGGAAGUCCUCGUGUUGCAACCC